CACAACUGAUAGUAUAAGGUUUGAGCCUUCCAUUUUAUGUCUGCUCUGUUUGUCCUAAUUCCCUUUAAGGAUUUAUAUGAAACUUGAGUCAAAUGAUCACCUCAUCAAGGUGAUGUGCAGAAAUGAGUCAGCCAUGCCGGCUCAAGGUCAAGGUCACAACUCGAGGUCAAAGGUUUGAGCCUUCCAUUUUGUGUCCACUCUGUAUCUCCUAAACCCCUUGAAGAAUUUUCAUCAUACUUGGGUCAAAUGAUCACCUCAUCAAGAACUCAUAAGUCAGCUGUGUCAACUCAAGGUCAAGGUCACAACUCAAGGUCAAAGGUUUGAGCUCUGUAUCUCCGAAACCCCUUGAAGGAUUUUCAUGAAACUUGGGUCAAGUGAUCAACCCAUUUUUUUGUGUGCAGAAUUCGUGAACCAUGUCAAUUCAAGGUCAAGGUCACAGCUUAAGGUCAAAGGUUAUUCCUUUCACUGUCCAUAGCAGUGGCGGAGGAUUUAGCUGUCUUUCAGACUGCCUUGUAUUCCUUUAGUUUUGUAUAGCUAUUUUUUACACUAGAAUGAUGGAGUACUUGGGAAAAUAUGUCGCAGCAGGAUAUAGGGAUGCAUCGCACUGCUCUUUAUCAUGAACAGGUUUGUGCAUUGCUACUUCUGUUACCAUUUUUGCAUGCUUUUCUCUGCAGAUUUUUCCAAAUUGGUGGCGGAUGUUUAAUACAAGCACAUGUGAAGAUAUAAUGUUGUAGAUGUUGCAACUAUGGUGCUUGAUAUUGACAAACACGUGCAUGGAUGUCAUGUUUUAGAUUUCACAAUGGUUAAGUGGAUGGUGCAGCUUGGUCCUUUUUCUAAGGCACAACAGGCCAGAGUGACUGAAGAGCUUAGGGCAUGCGCAUACAGUUUCUGGCUUUGGUGAUUGUAAAGCUCGAAGUAUUUGAUGAGAAACUCAGACUAUACGGCAAGAAGCAGUUUCCUGGAUCAUACACUUAAGGACGUAUAAUCUAGUAAACAGUGUCUUUUCAUUUUCAAAGAGGGUUGACAUACCCAGCUUUCCAAGUAUUGGUGAGAAACCCAGGAAAAAUGCAAUGCGGCUAUUUAUUUUAUUGUAUUAACAGGAAGAAACUUUUAAUUGAUGGAACUAUAACUUCCGAAGGACAACCUUGCUGGUACCAUAAAGCUGCUGAUAACCAGAGGUGCACUAGUACCAGUCAGUACCGGUCACCAGAGAUGCACUGGUACCCUAUUGAUGCCUAUCAUCAGAGGUGUGCUGGGCCCCUUAUGUCAACAUAUUAAUCAACUGUUUUCGGCCAGCACUGUUUGAUGGUCUCAAUGGAAUUCAAGGCUUAGUGGACAUGUUGUCUGUAUUUGGCCUGUCGUGCUCAUGUUAGAGAGCUCUUCCACACCUCUUGCACAAAAUGGAAAAUCCUUGAUGGCCGGACAGACAAAGAACUCAGUUGGGUUUAAAAAGGCAAGAAGAUAGUGUUUUACGUUGCUGAAAGACAUAGAAAAGAACCGAUUGCAGAAAAAUAUCACCAUGCCAUCCUGUGUUUGUUAUUUCCGAUAGAUGGCAGCGCAAUGCAUUCCAGAUUGAUUUCAAACACACAAGAGAAAUAUAUGCAGAAGGAAGAACAAAGUAUGAUGAAUUCAUGACAAACCUUGCACAAGAUAUAAGCAUAUCACCAUCACAGCCGCCCUGACACGAGCAUAUUUAAACAAAUUAGAAAUAAGCUGACAUGUUUAUAAUCAUAUCCCCACGUACAAAGUAUAUGGGGUUAUAUUGGAGUCACGUAUGUCCAACAGUCCGUUCGUCCAUCCGCCCAUCGUGUCCGCUUUCAUAAAACUGACAUCAGUUAUUAAUUUCAUCAGGAUGGUGUGCAGAGCUCACAACUCAUGUCAUUAGGUCCAAAGUUAAGGUUACCUUUUGAGGUCUAAAGUCAAGUAGUUUAACUUCAUGUCCGCUCCAUAUUGUCUAAAUGGCUUGGCAGGUACUUAACUCGACUAUUCGAAGAUUAAAGAGAAUUAUUGUACUUGCCUUUGCGUCGUCGUCACUGCCACCGAUGUAUUCAUGUUAAAAUUUUAUGGCAAGCUUGUUUUACUAUAUAUUCUUUACUAUUUCCCCUUUUAACUUCAAACUUCACAAGUGUUAGUCUUGGUAAGGGACAGACAUCUGUUAUUUUAAACGUCAAGGUCACUGGGUCAAACAUUAUAACAGUGCUGGUUAAAGUUUUAUGACAAACUUCUCAUUUGCACUAUAUCCUCUUAUCCACUAUCCUAUAAUCAUCAAACCUUACAUAAGGAUUGACCUUAGGAAGGGGCAAAAGUCUUUAGGUUUAAGAUCAGGUAGGUCAAAGGUCAAGGGCACUGGGUCAGAUUUUGUAAUAAUGUUCGUUAAAGUUUUAUGCACGCUUCACAAUUGGACUUAUUACUCAUACUGUUUCUUUGCACUGGUAUGUCCCACGCUUUUGAGCCCUACCCAUACUUUCUAUACCCCAAUCCCGACACCUACCAAAAGAUACAUUCCUCACACAAACUUAUAUUUCAUAUUCCCCUCAUUUCCGCUACCCACCUGUCUCCACCUACCACCUUCAACCCCAUUUCACCACCUCUUGCCCAGAACAAAGAUUUAUUAUGUCUCCCCCAGGAGACAUAUCGUUUUUGCCCUGUCCGUCCGUCCGUACGUCACACUUCAUUUCCGAGCAAUAACUGGGGAACCAUUUGACCUAGAACCUUCAAACUUCAUAGGGUUGUAGGGCUGCUGGAGAAGACGACCCCUAUUGUUUUUGGGGUCACUCCGUCAAAGGUCAAGGUCACAGGGGCCCGAACAUUGAAAACCAUUUCCGAUCAAUAACUAGAGAACCACUUGACCAAGAAUGUUGAAACUUCAUAGGAUGAUUGGUCAUAAAGAGUAGAUGACCCCUAUUGAUUUUGGGGUCACUCCAUCAAAGGUCAAGGUCACAGGGGCCUGAACAUGGAAAACCAUUUCCGAUCAAUAACUAGAGAACCACUUGACCCAGAAUGUUAAAACUUCAUAGGUUGAUUGUACAUGCAAAGUAGAUGACCCCUAUCGAUUUUGGGGUCACUCCAUUAAAGGUCAAGGUCACAGGGGCCCGAACAUUGAAAACCAUUUCCGGUCAGUAACUUGAGAACCACUUGACCCAGAAUGUUGAAACUUCAUAGGAUGAUUGGUCAUGAAGAGUAGAUGACCCCUAUUGAUUUUGGGGUCACUCUGUCAAAGGUCAAGGUCACAGGGACCUGAACAUUGAAAACCAUUUCUGAUCAAUAACUAGAGAACCACUUGACCCAGAAUGUUGAAAAUUCAUAGGAUGAUUGAUGAUGAAGAGUAGAUGAUCCCUAUUGAUAUUGGGGUCACUCCGUCAAAGGUCAAGGUCACAGGGGCCUGAACAUUGAAAACCAUUUCCGAUCAAUAACUAGAGAACCACUUGACCCAGAAUGUUGAAACUUCAUAGGAUGAUUGGUCAUAAAGAGUAGAUGACCCCUAUUGAUUUUGGGGUCACUCCAUCAAAGGUCAAGGUCACAGGGGCCUGAACAUGGAAAACCAUUUCCAAUCAAUAACUAGAGAACCACUUGACCCAGAAUGUUGAAACUUCAUAGAAUGAUUCAACAUACAAAGUAGAUGACCCCUAUCGAUUUUGGGGUCACUCCAUUAAAGGUCAAGGUCACAGGGGCCUGAACAUUGAAAACCAUUUCCGGUCAGUAACUUGAGAACCACUUGACCCAGAAUGUUGAAACUUAAUAGGAUGAUUGGUCAUGCAGAGUAGAUGACCCCUAACGAUUUUGGGGUCACUGUGAAAGGUCAAGGUCACAGGGACCUGAACAUUGAAAACCAUUUCUGGUCAGUAACUUCAGAACCACUUGACCCAGAAUGAUGAAACUUCAUAGGAUGAUUGGUCAUGCAGAGUAGUUGACCCCUAACGAUUUUAGGGUCACUCUGUUAAAGAUCAAGGCCACAGGGGCCUGAACAUGGAAAACCAUUUCCAAUCAAUAACUUGAGAACCUUUCGACCCAGAAUGUUGAAACUUCAUAGGAUUAUUGUUCAUGCAGAGUAAAUGACCCCUAUUGUUUUUGGGGUCACUCCGUUAAAGGUCAAGGUCACAGGGGCCUGAACACUGAUAACCAGUUCUGAUCAAUAACUUGAGAACCACUUGACCCAGAAUGUUGAAACUUCAUAGGAUGAUUGAACAUGCAGAGUAGAUGACCCCUAUUGAUUUUGGGGUCAGUCUAUUAAAGGUCAAGGUCACAGGGGCCUGUUCAUGUAAAAUCAUUUUUUGGAAAUAACUUGAGAACCACUUGACCUACAAUGUUGAAACUUAAUAGGAUGAUUGGACAUGCAGAGUAGAUGACCCCUAUAUAUUUUGAGGUCACUUGAUCAAAGGUCAAGGUCACAGAAGCCUGAACAGUGACUUGAGAAACACUAGGCCAAGAGUGUUGAAAUUUAGCGGGAUGAUUGGACAUGCCAAGUAGAUGAUCCCUAUUGCAGCCAACCAUAAGUGUCUCUUUGACUUUCGCUCCUGACCCCUAUUGACUUCUUGCCUAUAGGACUUUGCAUUGGGGGAGACAUGCGCUUUUUUACAAAAGCAUUUUCUAGUUUUACAUUUUCUUUACAAUAAAUUAGAUUGUAAAUUGAUGUAUAUCUUGUAUAUCAUAUGUUUAUAUGAUGUUUCAGUAUCCCUUAUUCCCACACUUCUACUCCCAACCCCACUCGACUCUAAUUUUUUUCUUAUAUAUGUUUUACAUCUCUCACACAUCACAUCUCAUCCCCCAUCUCCUAUUCUACAGCAACACCCCCUCACUAUUUGUAGAUCACUAGGUCCAAGGGCAAGGUCACACUUGAAGGUCAAAAGUCAUGGUGACAAAAUUUUACAUUCCCUUUGCAAAAGCGACGUCUGGGGGUACUAAUCACUUUAAUUGAUAGCUUUAAUUGCUCAUGUUUAAGUUACCUAAAUGUAUAGCAUUAGCUGAAUUGUAUUAUUUAUUUGUUAAAUGUAAGUUAAAUUUUAGGAUAAUUGAGGAAAUUAUAUAAUUUUAAAUUGGUGAUACAGUCGAACUAUUUUAGACGAAUCAAAUAUUUCUAGCUUGGUUUGUUACUGGUCUUGAAAUAAUAUAUCUAUAGUUUUAAAGUAUCGCAUUAUAUUUAAAAAUACAUUUAUGAAGAUUUGUUAAAUUAUUUCAAAAGCAUCUCAAAUAUAAGUUAUUUUAAAACUGGACAGGGAUAGUUUUCAAAGAUAAAUAAAUAUGCGGGGAUCAGUUUAUGCACACAAAUAAAAGAAUUUGGGACCGGAGUUUAACUUUAUUUUGUUUGUUUGUUUUAGUAUAAGGUCGAAAUACGAAUCACUCAAGAUGCAACUUCUGAAAAUAUAAACUGUAGUGUUCACGCAUAAAAAUAAUUCAGUUUUACAUAUAAAUUAAAGAUUUUUUUCGUACACAAUUUAUCAGUGUAGGUCACACGUAACGUUACGCUUGCUCUUAUGGCAAUAAAUAUGUUGGAAAAAAUUAAUAUAGUUCUACGAGAUUGAUUUCUUUUUCAGUUUAAUAUUGCUAAUUUCAACUGAUUUAUUUUUGUUUGUUAAAACACUGUCGAAUUAUGUGUAGAUCUAAUUCAUAUAUAUUCUUUCGCGUUUAAUUGAUGUUGCGUGCAAAUGAACAUUGUAUUUGGAUUUCCCACUUCUAAAACUGUGGGUUUAUCAGGGUAUAAUGUGUCGUUAUGUUUCACUAAUACUCUGAAAGCUUGACGUAAAAUUCCAUACUACAAAAUGUAGAGAUAAAAUCAUAAUUGUUUUAUUCAAACACAUAUUCUACCGUCUUUUGUCUGGGUCGUCUAUAUGUAAAUUUUAAAAGUCAUUUUGGUCUCAUUUCUUGUAUAUUAAAUUUUACACAGUUUGGCAUAACUCUUAACCGCAUAACUCUUAACCGACACCUAACUCCUGAGCACUAACAUUAACGCUUGGGGCUGAAAUGACUUUUAAAGCAAUUUUGUCUUUUGUAGGAACAAUGUGUUAAACGUUAAAUGUUUUAGGAACGAUGUGUAAAAA